rnacentral:rRNA from 1 species
AGUGAACGCUGGCGGUAGGCCUAACACAUGCAAGUCGAACGGCAGCACAGUAAGAGCUUGCUCUUACGGGUGGCGAGUGGCGGACGGGUGAGGAAUACAUCGGAAUCUACUUUUUCGUGGGGGAUAACGUAGGGAAACUUACACUAAUACCGCAUACGUCCUACGGGUGAAAGCAGGGGAUCUUCGGACCUUUCGCGAUUGAAUGAGCCGAUGUCGGAUUAGCUAGUUGGCGUGGUAAAGGCCCACCUAGGCGACGAUCCGUAGCCUGUCUGAGAGGAUGAACAGCCACACUGGAACUGGGCCACGGUUCAGACUCCUACGGGAGGCCGCAGUGGGGAAUAUUGGCCCAUGGGCGGAAGCCUGGUCCAGCCAUACCGCGUGGGUGAAGAAGGCCUACGGGUUGUAAAGCCCUUUUGUUGGGAAAGAAAAGCAGCAGGUUAAUACCCCGCUGUUCUGACGGUACCCAAAGAAUAAGCACCGGCUAACUUCGUG